AUUCAACUGACGAGUCCCAAAUAGGACGAAACACGUGUCCAACUGAAU
rnacentral:hammerhead_ribozyme from 1 species